rnacentral:rRNA from 1 species
AUUGAACGCUGGCGGCAGGCCUAACACAUGCAAGUCGAGCGAGCGGCGGACGGGUGCGUAAUGUCUGGGGAUCUGCCUGAUAGAGGGGGAUAACUCCUGGAAACGGUAGCUAAUACCGCAUACUAUCGGAUGCACCCAUAUGGGAUUAGCUAGUUGGUGGGGUAAAGGCUCACCUGGGCGACGAUCCCUAGCUGGUCUGAGCGGAUGAUCAGCCACACUGGGAAUGAGACACGGCCCAGACUCCGACGGGAGGCAGCAGUGGGGAAUAUUGCACAAUGGGCGCAAGCCGGAUGCAGCCAUGCCGCGUGUAUGAAGAAGGCCUGAGGGUUGUAAAGUACUUUCAGCGGGGAGGCGUUACCCGCAGAAGAAGCACCGGCUAACUCCGUGCCAGCAGCCGCGGUAAUUC